rnacentral:rRNA from 1 species
CGGGCGUUAAGUUGCAGGGUAUAGACCCGAAACCCGGUGAUCUAGCCAUGGGCAGGUUGAAGGUUGGGUAACACUAACUGGAGGACCGAACCGACUAAUGUUGAAAAAUUAGCGGAUGACCUGUGGCUGGGGGUGAAAGGCCAAUCAAACCGGGAGAUAGCUGGUUCUCCCCGAAAGCUAUUUAGGUAGCGCCUCGUGAAUUCAUCUCCGGGGGUAGAGCACUGUUUCGGCUAGGGGGCCAUCCCGGCUUACCAACCCGAUGCAAACUGCGAAUACCGGAGAAUGUUAUCACGGGAGACACACGGCGGGUGCUAACGUCCGUCGUGAAGAGGGAAACAACCCAGACCGCCAGCUAAGGUCCCAAAGUCAUGGUUAAGUGGGAAACGAUGUGGGAAGGCCCAGACAGCCAGGAUGUUGGCUUAGAAGCAGCCAUCAUUUAAAGAAAGCGUAAUAGCUCACUGGUCGAGUCGGCCUGCGCGGAAGAUGUAACGGGGCUAAACCAUGCACCGAAGCUGCGGCAGCGACACUGUGUGUUGUUGGGUAGGGGAGCGUUCUGUAAGCCUGUGAAGGUGUGUCGUGAGGCAUGCUGGAGGUAUCAGAAGUGCGAAUGCUGACAUAAGUAACGAUAAAGCGGGUGAAAAGCCCGCUCGCCGGAAGACCAAGGGUUCCUGUCCAACGUUAAUCGGGGCAGGGUGAGUCGACCCCUAAGGCGAGGCCGAAAGGCGUAGUCGAUGGGAAACGGGUUAAUAUUCCCGUACUUGGUGUUACUGCGAAGGGGGGACGGAGAAGGCUAUGUUGGCCGGGCGACGGUUGUCCCGGUUUAAGCGUGUAGGUGUGUGUUCCAGGUAAAUCCGGUUCACUUUAACACUGAGGCGUGACGACGAGGCACUACGGUGCUGAAGCAACAAAUGCCCUGCUUCCAGGAAAAGCCUCUAAGCAUCAGGUAACAUCAAAUCGUACCCCAAACCGACACAGGUGGUCAGGUAGAGAAUACCAAGGCGCUUGAGAGAACUCGGGUGAAGGAACUAGGCAAAAUGGUGCCGUAACUUCGGGAGAAGGCACGCUGACACGUAGGUGAAGUGAUUUACUCAUGGAGCUGAAGUCAGUCGAAGAUACCAGCUGGCUGCAACUGUUUAUUAAAAACACAGCACUGUGCAAACACGAAAGUGGACGUAUACGGUGUGACGCCUGCCCGGUGCCGGAAGGUUAAUUGAUGGGGUCAGCGCAAGCGAAGCUCCUGAUCGAAGCCCCGGUAAACGGCGGCCGUAACUAUAACGGUCCUAAGGUAGCGAAAUUCCUUGUCGGGUAAGUUCCGACCUGCACGAAUGGCGUAAUGAUGGCCAGGCUGUCUCCACCCGAGACUCAGUGAAAUUGAACUCGCUGUGAAGAUGCAGUGUACCCGCGGCAAGACGGAAAGACCCCGUGAACCUUUACUAUAGCUUGACACUGAACAUUGAGCCUUGAUGUGUAGGAUAGGUGGGAGGCUUUGAAGUGUGGACGCCAGUCUGCAUGGAGCCGACCUUGAAAUACCACCCUUUAAUGUUUGAUGUUCUAACGUGGACCCGUUACCCGGGUUGCGGACAGUGUCUGGUGGGUAGUUUGACUGGGGCGGUCUCCUCCUAAAGAGUAACGGAGGAGCACGAAGGUUGGCUAAUCCUGGUCGGACAUCAGGAGGUUAGUGCAAUGGCAUAAGCCAGCUUGACUGCGAGCGUGACGGCGCGAGCAGGUGCGAAAGCAGGUCAUAGUGAUCCGGUGGUUCUGAAUGGAAGGGCCAUCGCUCAACGGAUAAAAGGUACUCCGGGGAUAACAGGCUGAUACCGCCCAAGAGUUCAUAUCGACGGCGGUGUUUGGCACCUCGAUGUCGGCUCAUCACAUCCUGGGGCUGAAGUAGGUCCCAAGGGUAUGGCUGUUCGCCAUUUAAAGUGGUACGCGAGCUGGGUUUAGAACGUCGUGAGACAGUUCGGUCCCUAUCUGCCGUGGGCGCUGGAGAACUGAGGGGGGCUGCUCCUAGUACGAGAGGACCGGAGUGGACGCAUCACUGGUGUUCGGGUUGUCAUGCCAAUGGCACUGCCCGGUAGCUAAAUUCGGAAGAGAUAAGUGCUGAAAGCAUCUAAGCACGAAACUUGCCCCGAGAUGAGUUCUCC